rnacentral:lncRNA from 1 species
GCGUGAGCCACCGUGCCUGGCUGUGAGAAAUUAAUUUAAAUAAAGUAGAAAUUGGACACACCUGACUAAAAGGUUUGUGUCACAGAAACACAAACUUUGGCUUCCUGGAGGUGGAUGGGAUGCUUUGCAGCCAGCGUCCUGUGUGUCGGUGGGCAGGUUGUUUAACUUGGAUAGACCAUCUUUUUAAUUUAGAAAGUGAUGGUGCCCGGCUGGGGAAGUGGAUGGCACAACUGCCUGGAAAGCCGUUUCUUGACCCAUCUUGGGGUGUUUGGCCAUGGGCUGGACCUGCCAGUCAGCAUGGAGAGAAGGGAAGCAGAAAAGCCUGAGAACACUGCGUGAAGCCAGAAUGCCCCGCUCUUCCGGGGGAGCCCCAGUGGAGUAGACAGCACUGGCCCCAUGGGCUCGCCCCACCCGCUGCAUCUGUCUGUCCCCUCUC